rnacentral:misc_RNA from 1 species
UCUCCGUUGGUGAACCAGCGGAGGGAUCAUUACAAGAGCGCCGAAAGGCUGCUUAAAACCAUCGUGAACCUAUCCAUCAGCGUUGCUUCGGCGGGAGCGCUCGCGGGGCCGGAGUCUCUCCGGUCCCCGGGCCGUGGACCCCACACCUCCGGGUGCGGGGCCGCCCGCCGGAGGUACGAAACUCUUCUGCAUCUUAGUGGCAUCUCUGAGUAAACAAGCAAAUAAUUAAAACUUUCAACAACGGAUCUCUUGGUUCUG